rnacentral:rRNA from 1 species
CAGCAGCCGCGGGAAUACGAGGGGGGCAAGCGUUGUUCGGAAUUAUUGGGCGUAAAGGGUGCGUAGGCGGCUUGACAAGUCUUGUGUGAAAUCUAUGGGCUCAACCCAUAGUCUGCACGGGAAACUGUCGGGCUUGAGUAUGGGAGAGGUGAGUGGAAUUUCCGGUGUAGCGGUGAAAUGCGUAGAUAUCGGAAGGAACACCUGUGGUGAAAGCGGCUCACUGGACCAUAACUGACGCUGAAGCACGAAAGCUAGGGGAGCAAACAGGAUUAGAUACCCGCGUAGUCCCUGUCUCUUAUAC